ACCUACUGCGGUUGGAAGAAUGUUAUUUAAGACAAGACAAGGCAAGUGAAAAUCAGCACAUGUGGAAGAUUUCGCCAUAAGCUACCAAUUGAUAAAUUUUGAGAAGAAUCUAGGCUCAAAAUCCUUGCUGUGCUGGAAAAUCGGGUAAUGUGAACUGCCAUUGUAGGCAUGAUCAGCGCUUCCAUUCAACCCCUGGCUCUUCAGAUCUGUAAUCUAGUUUGAGGUCAAAUGUAUGUAUAUCUAUUGACUGUGCUCUACAGUCGCUAACCAGAUGCGUAUUGUCUGAGGCACUGUCGAACUGGUUCAAAAUUGUACAAAAUGUGACUUUUGGUUGAAAGUGUUCAAUAAAUGCAGUGAAUGAUAA